CUCUGAUUGAUGCUGCCAGGUAAAUGGAAGGUUAGCUGCAGUAACUGUUAAGGUGGUAACACUUAAUUGAUUACAGCUAAUACUACUUGUUAGCAAAUGCUAAAAGCACUUGCACAUAUGAAGCAUAGUAUUUUUAAAAAAUUAUUACAUCCUAAAUAGAAGGGAAAAGGUUUUUAAGCCCUGGCACUAAUGAGUGAGGGCUGUUCAUAAUUAAGAAGUGAUUCCUAUGUUCUGGUAAGCAGUAUCUUUCAGGGGUCAGAUAUUGUAAUUUUUUUCCAUGUGAUGGCAAACACUUCAUUUUUCCCUUUCCAUAAAUUUCCCCCAGUUCCCAGUACUACCUCUCUUACAAAAGGAAAUUAAUCUCAAGGUCAGGUUUGAUUUAGAAGACGUGUUGUAAAGUACCCAGACAGUAGAAAUGGUAUUUUCCUUGGACUGUGGUUUAAAAAAACAAAACAAAACACAUAAUGUUCAGUUGUUUUCCUCCAAUUAAAUGAUCUGUAGGCUAUUGGCUAAAUGAUCUGAUUCUCAGUGCUAUUUGUAUCAUUGCAAGCUCUAAAGGUUCACUGUCACUGGUACAGGGGAUCCUCAGAGAAAAUUUGUAGGAUUCCCCAGUCCCUACGAUCUGUUUGUCUUCCAGCUCAUGUAUCACCCAGUGUUUCUGUGACACUGCCUUUCAAACUGAUCUGAAUAAGCUUCCAGGUCUUACACUGCAGUGCUUCUCUAGCAGCCUUUUCCAUUUGGAGUGUGGUGAUAGAGACUGCUUGUGGUAACCUAUCUAGGUCCUCUUAGUGGAUUUUAAAUGAUUGUCUGGGGCAGGCUUUGAUUAGAAGGAAUCUGUUAAAACUGUUCAUGAAAUAACAUGAACUAAGGAAGUGCUUCAGGUAGAACUACCUGUACUCUUCUAAACUUCAGUGUGUUGACCAUUAAGUCAUUCUUUCACCUACUAAUCAAAAUUGAUAAAACAGAUUACUUGGGUUUAUAGUGAUUCUGCCCUCAUCAUAAACCUUCAUUUGAUAGCAGUCUUCUAGUUUCCUGUUUUCUUCAGCUUGGUUUACAGUUCCUUCUAAUCCUCUCUGAUAGCCUAUUUUUUGGGGUGGGGGGGGAGCUUUUUGAGACAGGGGCUCACUAUGUAGUUCAGGCUGGCAUUGAGCCUCCCAAGUGCUGGGAUUACAGGUGUGCACUACCACACCCAGCUCUGAUAUCUUUACAUUCUGACAUCUUUCUACCUCUUAUGUCUCUCAAUCUGAAUAAAUGUUGGCCUUGUGUCAAUAUUAUUAUUGAUUUACUAAACGCAACUGAAUUUUGAGUUUGAAAAAUUGUUCAGUUUCUUAAAGAAUAUUUCAAUUUCCUGAAGUAUUUUAGUUUCUCUGCAUUUUGGCAGCCUUUUAAAGAUUUAUGCUUUUAGGGGCUGGGCAUUUAGCUCAGUGGUUCCACCACCUGCCCCAAGGCCACAAGGACCCAAGUUUGAUCCCUGGUACCAAAAAAAAGAUUUAUGCUUGUAGUCUAAGCAGAAAAGACAUAAAAGUGUUUCUUGUGGCUUUUACAGUAAUCUAGAGUGAUAGAAAAGUACCCUAAUUGUCAAUCCAUGCUGGGUGCCACAUAUUAAAGUUAUGAGUAUAUUUCUAUCGUUUCUCUUUUAACAUUACUUGUAGUUUUCUCCCAAAUUUUUUCCGUAAGAAUCAAAAUAAUUUACUGUGUCAGUCCCAAAAUGCCUCACAGAAAGCCAAAUUUAUUGAACCAUAUGGACAAAGUUGGCUAUGUGGCUCAGUGCAGAGAACUUUAGCUAACAUGCACAGGGCUACAGUUUCAAUCCCCAGCACCAUUAAAAAAAUAAUUACUUUGAGAACAUAUAUAUUCAUAUAUAUGCCUUUCUUUAAAUUGGGAAUACAUUAACUAUUUUCAGAGAAGAAUGCCCCCAAAAUACUUUGGCUUUUAAAGUAAAUUUAUUUUUAAAAAGUAUUGUGUGUGAUUUUAUAGUUGUUUUUUAACUUUGCUGAUAGCAUGACAUCAUUGACAUCCUCGUUGGAAAUCUUCCUGUGUGAGAUCUGGCAGAAUUGUCAGAGGAAACUGUAGCUUCAGUUGUAUUAGGGAAAUUACCUGUACUCUUGAAUUCUGUCCCAGUUUUUAGUUAUUGCUGGCAGGGUUAAAUGUAGAAUGAAAAAUUGCUGCUUCCAUUUUGUUCUCUUGCUAGAACAGAAGAAAGAAUAGGAAGAAACUGCUGAACUCAUACAGAUUUUUAGAAACAGAAUACCAGUUCUAAUUCUGGAGGCCUUGAUGUUUUCUGGCAAAGGCCUUCCUGCAUUUAUGAAUUCCCUCUCAAGAAGCAAGAGAACACCUGCAGGAAGUGAAUCAAGAUGAAGAACAGAGGAGUAAUCACCUGCUUUAAAAAACAAAGUACUGUUGAAAAAGAUCAUUUCUCUCUAUUUGUUCCUAGGUGUAAAAUUUUAAUAGUUAAUGCAGAAUUCUGUAAUCAUUGAAUCAUUAGUGGUUAAUGUUUGAAAACACUCUUGCAAUCAAGUCUGUGAUGUAUUAAUAAUGCCUUAUGUAUCGUUUGUAGUCAUUUUAAAUAGCAUGAGCCAUGUCCCUGUAGUCAGUAGGGGGCAACCUUGCUUUAUUCAUCCUUCAUCUCAGAAAAAAAAAAUGAAUUUGGAAUUAAAGAUUUUAGUGUAAGAUAUAAGACUGGUUAUUUUAAAGAGUUUUUCUCAAAAGUUAAUAACUUCUAUUAUGACUGCAUUUCUGUUUAUAAUCCAUAUUUGCUGUUAAAAUUAAUCUAGAAAAUUAUUCAGUUGUACUGUGUGUGAACACCUGGAAGCAAAAUCAUAGUGUGAAAUAUAUUUAAGUUGUAGUCAAAAAAUACAUUCUUAAUUAGUAAAUAAGCAUUAAUUUUUAUAGUCUGUAUGCAGAAUUUUACAGUACCUUAUUCUGUGGUGUGUAUCUAAGGAAUUCAGGAAGUGUUACUGUAUAAAUAGAAAGGACAAAGACAAAUACAGCUUAAUUACAAAAAUGUAAUUUUAGACAGUCUGUAAUUUCUGACACUAUAAUUAGAGUCCUAAAAGAUAAGGUAACUAGGAGCAAAGAAAGAAUUAGCUUGGAACUUUUGAGAUGAUCCCUAACAUACUGUACUACUUGCUUUUACAAUGUGUUAACAGAAACCAAUGAAUUAGUAAUGUAGAAUGAUGUGCUUUCUGCCCAAGUGGUAAUACACCUUGGUUUGUAUGUUAAAACUGUAAAUACAACAGAACAUUAAUAAAUGUCUCUUGUGUAGCACCUUUUACUGUAGAUUAGUGUGGGGUUUUUUGUUGUUGUUUUUUGUUUGAUUUGCAUUUAUUGAUUGCUAAAACAACUAAUCUAACAAUCCUUCGGUAAAUAUUAAAAAACUGAUUUGGGGUCAAUUUUUUCUUUAUCGAUGCAUAGGAGGUUCCCUUCUUUCGUAUCCUACUCCAUACAUUUCUAAAAAUGUAUGUGAACAUUGGUUCUGCUAAAGAUAAUGGGUAAAAAUAGGGAGCAACUGUAGAG
ensembl:lncRNA